rnacentral:rRNA from 1 species
UGGGGAAUAUUGCGCAAUGGGCGAAAGCCUGACGCAGCGACGCUGCGUGAGGGAUGAAGGUUUUCGGAUCGUAAACCUCUGUCAGAAGGGAAGAAACCGCACUGUGCUAAUCAGCAGUGCCUUGACGGUACCUUCAAAGGAAGCACCGGCUAACUCCGUGCCAGCAGCCGCGGUAAUACGGAGGGUGCAAGCGUUAAUCGGAAUUACUGGGCGUAAAGCGCACGUAGGCUGCUUUGUAAGUCAGGGGUGAAAUCCCACGGCUCAACCGUGGAACUGCCUUUGAUACUGCUUAGGUUGAGUCCGGGAGAGGGUGGCGGAAUUCCAGGUGUAGGAGUGGAAUCCGUAGAUAUCUGGAGGAACAUCAGUGGCGAAGGCGGCCACCUAGACCGGUAUUGUCACUGAGGUGCGAAAGCGUGGGGAGCAAACAGG